rnacentral:misc_RNA from 1 species
GAACUCUCAAAGCCCCCUUCCUUUGACCGGGUUGGAGUGCUUUGGAUCGUGGGCGCUUGCGAGCCUGGCUCGCUCGUCUGAAAUCAAAUGUGGUGGUUUUCUCUAAAGCCUGUGUCGGGUUUGACCUGGAGUGAUAGAAGUCUUUCGAGAUCUCUGGGGACUGCCUUUUGACGACCUGCCGAGGUGGGAGAGAUUGCCUACUAGGACUCAUCUGACGU